AAAAACUCAAUAUAACCCCUUUAGAAACAUCUAACCUUCCCUGCAAUUUCAAAUUUGCAACCAAUUCAACACAAACAACAACUCAAUAAAUACUAUCUUCAUCCAAAUCACAUUCGUUUCAUAACAAUAUCACUAGUCCUUAUUUUAUCUAACAUUAUAUCCAUUCAUACUUUCAAGUAGUAUUUAAACAUCUUAGUUAAUUUCCAUUCAUAUCAUAUAUAAACUUAUAUUAACUUAACUAAUAUAUUCAUGAGUUAAUACAAAACAUAGUCAUAUAAGC
rnacentral:lncRNA from 1 species